CCUACGGGAGGCAGCAGUAAGGAAUAUUGGUCAAUGGGCGCAAGCCUGAACCAGCCAUGCCGCGUGCAGGAAGACGGCCCUAUGGGUUGUAAACUGCUUUUGAACAAGAGAAAACCUCGGUACGUGUACCGAGCUGAUAGUAUUGUUAGAAUAAGCAUCGGCUAACUUCGUGCCAGCAGCCGCGGUAAGACGAAGGAUGCAAGCGUUAUCCGGAUUCAUUGGGUUUAAAGGGUGCGUAGGCGGCCUGAUAAGUCAGUGGUGAAAUCUCUCAGCUUAACUGAGAAACUGCCAUUGAUACUGUCGGGCUUGAGUACAGAUGAUGUGGGCGGAAUAUGACAUGUAGUGGUGAAAUACUUAGAUAUGUCAUAGAACACCGAUUGCGAAGGCAGCUCACAAAACUGUAACUGACGCUGAGCACGAAGUAGNGGGAGUACAACAGAGUAGUAUACCUACGGUAGUACGCACCGUAAACGAAUAGAUUACUUACGUUGUUGGUCG
rnacentral:rRNA from 1 species